rnacentral:rRNA from 1 species
GGUCAACCGAUAGCUUGCUCUCGGGUGACGAGCGGCGGACGGGUGAGUAAUGUCUGGGAAACUGCCUGAUGGAGGGGGAUAACUACUGGAAACGGUAGCUAAUACCGCAUAAUGUCGCAAGACCAAAGAGGGGGACCUUCGGGCCUCUUGCCAUCAGAUGUGCCCAGAUGGGAUUAGCUAGUAGGUGGGGUAACGGCUCACCUAGGCGACGAUCCCUAGCUGGUCUGAGAGGAUGACCAGCCACACUGGAACUGAGACACGGUCCAGACUCCUACGGGAGGCAGCAGUGGGGAAUAUUGCACAAUGGGCGCAAGCCUGAUGCAGCCAUGCCGCGUGUAUGAAGAAGGCCUUCGGGUUGUAAAGUACUUUCAGCGGGGAGGAAGGUGUUGAGGUUAAUAACCUCAGCAAUUGACGUUACCCGCAGAAGAAGCACCGGCUAACUCCGUGCCAGCAGCCGCGGUAAUACGGAGGGUGCAAGCGUUAAUCGGAAUUACUGGGCGUAAAGCGCACGCAGGCGGUCUGUCAAGUCGGAUGUGAAAUCCCCGGGCUCAACCUGGGAACUGCAUUCGAAACUGGCAGGCUAGAGUCUUGUAGAGGGGGGUAGAAUUCCAGGUGUAGCGGUGAAAUGCGUAGAGAUCUGGAGGAAUACCGGUGGCGAAGGCGGCCCCC